UACGGGGGGUGCAAGCGUUAAUCGGAAUGACUGGGCGUAAAGGGCAUGCAGGCGGUGAGUUAAGUUAGAUGUGAAAGCCCUGGGCUCAACCUGGGAACUGCAUUUAAAACUGGCUGACUAGAGUUUUGUAGAGGGGGGUAGAAUUCCAGGUGUAGCGGUGGAAUGCGUAGAGAUCUGGAGGAAUACCGGUGGCGAAGGCGGCCCCCUGGACAGUAACUGACGCUCAGAUGCGAAAGCGUGGGUAGCAAAC
rnacentral:rRNA from 1 species